rnacentral:rRNA from 1 species
ACGUAGGGCGCGAGCGUUGUCCGGAAUUAUUGGGCGUAAAGAGCUCGUAGGUGGCUCGUUGCGUCUGCCGUGAAAGCCCGUGGCUUAACUACGGGUCUGCGGUGGAUACGGGCAGGCUAGAGGCUGGUAGGGGCAAGCGGAAUUCCUGGUGUAGCGGUGAAAUGCGCAGAUAUCAGGAGGAGCACCGGUGGCGAAGGCGGCUUGCUGGGCCAGUUCUGACGCUGAGGAGCGAAAGCGUGGGGAGCGAACAGGA